rnacentral:rRNA from 2 species
UGCAGUCGACGAGUUCUGAUUAUUGAAAGGUGCUUGCAUCUUGAUUUAAUUUUGAACGAGUGGCGGACGGGUGAGUAACACGUGGGUAACCUGCCCUUAAGUGGGGGAUAACAUUUGGAAACAGAUGCUAAUACCGCAUAAAUCCAAGAACCGCAUGGUUCUUGGCUGAAAGAUGGCGUAAGCUAUCGCUUUUGGAUGGACCCGCGGCGUAUUAGCUAGUUGGUGAGGUAACGGCUCACCAAGGCAAUGAUACGUAGCCGAACUGAGAGGUUGAUCGGCCACAUUGGGACUGAGACACGGCCCAAACUCCUACGGGAGGCAGCAGUAGGGAAUCUUCCACAAUGGACGCAAGUCUGAUGGAGCAACGCCGCGUGAGUGAAGAAGGCUUUCGGGUCGUAAAACUCUGUUGUUGGAGAAGAAUGGUCGGCAGAGUAACUGUUGUCGGCGUGACGGUAUCCAACCAGAAAGCCACGGCUAACUACGUGCCAGCAGCCGCGGUAAUACGUAGGUGGCAAGCGUUAUCCGGAUUUAUUGGGCGUAAAGCGAGCGCAGGCGGUUUUUUAAGUCUGAUGUGAAAGCCCUCGGCUUAACCGAGGAAGUGCAUCGGAAACUGGGAAACUUGAGUGCAGAAGAGGACAGUGGAACUCCAUGUGUAGCGGUGAAAUGCGUAGAUAUAUGGAAGAACACCAGUGGCGAAGGCGGCUGUCUGGUCUGUAACUGACGCUGAGGCUCGAAAGCAUGGGUAGCGAACAGGAUUAGAUACCCUGGUAGUCCAUGCCGUAAACGAUGAAUGCUAGGUGUUGGAGGGUUUCCGCCCUUCAGUGCCGCAGCUAACGCAUUAAGCAUUCCGCCUGGGGAGUACGACCGCAAGGUUGAAACUCAAAGGAAUUGACGGGGGCCCGCACAAGCGGUGGAGCAUGUGGUUUAAUUCGAAGCAACGCGAAGAACCUUACCAGGUCUUGACAUCUUUUGAUCACCUGAGAGAUCAGGUUUCCCCUUCGGGGGCAAAAUGACAGGUGGUGCAUGGUUGUCGUCAGCUCGUGUCGUGAGAUGUUGGGUUAAGUCCCGCAACGAGCGCAACCCUUAUGACUAGUUGCCAGCAUUUAGUUGGGCACUCUAGUAAGACUGCCGGUGACAAACCGGAGGAAGGUGGGGAUGACGUCAAAUCAUCAUGCCCCUUAUGACCUGGGCUACACACGUGCUACAAUGGAUGGUACAACGAGUUGCGAGACCGCGAGGUCAAGCUAAUCUCUUAAAGCCAUUCUCAGUUCGGACUGUAGGCUGCAACUCGCCUACACGAAGUCGGAAUCGCUAGUAAUCGCGGAUCAGCACGCCGCGGUGAAUACGUUCCCGGGCCUUGUACACACCGCCCGUCACACCAUGAGAGUUUGUAACACCCGAAGCCGGUGGCGUAACCC